rnacentral:misc_RNA from 3 species
AACGCACAUUGCGCCCGCCAGUAUUCUGGCGGGCAUGCCUGUUCGAGCGUCAUUUCAACCCUCAAGCCCCCGGGUUUGGUGUUGGGGAUCGGCGAGCCCUUGCGGCAAGCCGGCCCCGAAAUCUAGUGGCGGUCUCGCUGCAGCUUCCAUUGCGUAGUAGUAAAACCCUCGCAACUGGUACGCGGCGCGGCCAAGCCGUUAAACCCCCAACUUCUGAAUGUUGACCUCGGAUCAGGUAGGAAUACCCGCUGAACUUAA